AAUGGAUGCUGUGAAGUUUUGAUUAAUUUCAACAAGACGUGAGACCCUUUUAUAUAGACAGACACAAUCAGUGUAGGAAGGAAAGGAUUAAAACAGGUCCGUUAUGCCCUCAGACAUUUUGGGCUGCACGCGCAAUACAAUAGAUAUACAGUCUUUAUGGGAUAAUAUUUUGUAAGAGAUAUUUGAACUCGGAAUUGCUAGUAAAUUUUAUUGAAUAAGUAGAAUUGAAUGUGU
rnacentral:rRNA from 1 species